rnacentral:rRNA from 1 species
AAUUCGAUGAUACGCGAAGAACUACCAGGCCUUGACAUGCAGAGAACUUUCCAGAGAUGGAGUUGGUGCCUUCGGGAACUCUGACACAGGUGCUGCAUGGCUGUCGUCAGCUCGUGUCGUGAGAUGUUGGGUUAAGUCCGUAACGAGCGCAACCCUUGUCCUUAGUUACCAGCACGUUAUGGUGGGCACUCUAAGGAGACUGCCGGUGACAAACCGGAGGAAGGUGGGGGAUGACGUCAAGUCAUCAUGGCCCUUACGGCCUGGGCUACACACGUGCUACAAUGGUCGGUACAAAGGGUUGCCAAGCCGCGAGGUGGAGCUAAUCCCAUAAAACCGAUCGUAGUCCGGAUCGCAGUCUGCAACUCGACUGCGUGAAGUCGGAAUCGCUAGUAAUCGUGAAUCAGAAUGUCACGGUGAAUACGUUCCCGGGCCUU